CUUCGUUUCCGGGCCUAUUCCUCUCCAGAUCGAAGAUCUGAAGCCACCACGACGUUCCUGGCGGAGUUCUCUUCAAGUUUGCUAGGGCGGAUCGUCGGUGGGAUCGCGUUGGAAUUCAUCACAAAUUCAGGGGUGUUGUGUAGGAGGCACUGCGAGUGUUAGGCCAGUAUACCAUAGGGGCUUUUCAGUAAACAUGUGAUUCAAGUAGGCGAGCAGACCAGG